rnacentral:rRNA from 1 species
ACGAACGCUGGCGGCGUGCUUAACACAUGCAAGUCGAACGGUGAAGCGCCUUCCUUUUUGGUGGGUGUGGAUGAGUGGCGAACGGGUGAGUAACACGUGAGUAACCUGCCCCCCUCUUCUGGAUAACCGCAUGAAAGUGUGGCUAAUACGGGAUAUUCUGGGUCUGUCGCAUGAUGGGUCUGGGAAAGAUAUUGUUUCGGUGGGGGAUGGGCUCGCGGCCUAUCAGCUUGUUGGUGGGGUGAUGGCCUACCAAGGCGGUGACGGGUAGCCGGCCUGAGAGGGUGGACGGUCACACGGGGACUGAGACACGGCCCAGACUCCUACGGGAGGCAGCAGUGGGGAAUAUUGCACAAUGGGCGCAAGCCUGAUGCAGCGACGCCGCGUGAGGGAUGGAGGCCUUCGGGUUGUGAACCUCUUUCGCCAGUGAAGCAGGCCUGCCUCGUUUGUGGGUGGGUUGACGGUAGCUGGAUAAGAAGCGCCGGCUAACUACGUG